UGGCUCUUCAGACUGACGUGAACUCUGGAGGUGACACAUUUGGUAAAGGGCCUCCUAGGCACUGUGAGGCCCUGAAUUCAGAUCCCAGCACCACGGACAAAGCUGGGUGUGGCAGCGUGCAUCAGUAACCCUAGGGUGUUAGAGACCAUGGACUCCAUGGAGCGCUCUGUCCAGAAAAUGGAACUAUUCAGUGAGCUCUAGGCUGAAUGGGACAGAGAGCCUGUCUUACACACAAGGUGUGGAACUGCUGAGAAGGACAUCCGUGUCUACCCUUGUCCUCCACGUGGGUGCACAUGUAGUUGCACACACCCACGUGAACAGGUCCAUAUGCUUGCUCCAUAUACAUGCAAACAAAAUUACAGCAUUGAACUAUGCUAUAGAAUAAGUACAGAAAUCUCAGAAGUGAUACUUACAUCUAUUUUAUUAAUUCUUUGUACAAAAUUUUUUGUUGGUGGAGGCUGCUUGUUUGUAGUCCUGACCACCCAGACCCAAAAUAAUCUCACAGAAACUGUAUUAAUUAAAAUUCUGCUCAGCCUAUUAGCUUGGGCUUCUUAUUAACUCUUAAAUCUUAAAUUAACCCAUUCCUAAUUUUUUUUGUGUUUUACCACAAGGAUUGUGGUUUACGGUAAAGUUCCAGGUUGUCUGUCUCCUUUUUCAGCUAAAUUGUGUUUGUCUGCCUCUGCCUUCUUUCUCCCAGCAUUCAGUUUAGUUUUCCCACCUAACUCUUCUGCCCUGCCAAGGGCCAGAGACGCUUCUUUAUUAACCAAUGGUAAUAAAACAUAUUCACAGUAUACAGAGGGGAAUCCAUAAUCAAUUUUUGAGGCAAAAUUGGAGUUUAUUAAAUUUGUAUAGCAAUUUUAAGCAAUGUAAUUAGGAAAAGAAAUAUGGUUAGGAAGGAAGACAUACCUGAGGUUGCGUGUGCUUAGACACCUGAGGUCGUGAGUGUGUGCUUAGAUGGAUACCUGAGGUCAUGAGUGUGUGCUUACACACCUGAAGUUAUGGGUGUAUGCUUGACACCCGAGGUUGUGUGUGUGUGUGUGCUUAGAUAAACACCUGAGGUUGUGGGUGUGUGCUUAGACACCUGAGGUUGUGGGUAUGUGCUUAGAAGAGCUGCUGUUUUUGAGUUACCGGUACUGUAGCCAUGGUACUGCAUCCUUGAUAGUUUUGUUACUAGCUUGCUAUUCAGGCUUCUUCAUAAAUACUGUUUUUUCUUUUACUUUUUUGAAAAAUCUUAUAUCCUGCCAGGUAUAGAAUUUU